CCUACGGGAGGCAGCAGUGAGGAAUAUUGGACAAUGGGCGCAAGCCUGAUCCAGCCAUGCCGCGUGCAGGAUGACGGUCCUAUGGAUUGUAAACUGCUUUUAUACAGGAAGAAACAACUCUACGUGUAGAGUCUUGACGGUACUGUAAGAAUAAGGAUCGGCUAACUCCGUGCCAGCAGCCGCGGUAAUACGGAGGAUCCAAGCGUUAUCCGGAAUCAUUGGGUUUAAAGGGUCCGUAGGCGGUCAGAUAAGUCAGUGGUGAAAGCCCAUCGCUCAACGGUGGAACGGCCAUUGAUACUGUCUGACUUGAAUUAUUAGGAAGUAACUAGAAUAUGUAGUGUAGCGGUGAAAUGCUUAGAGAUUACAUGGAAUACCAAUUGCGAAGGCAGGUUACUACUAAUGGAUUGACGCUGAUGGACGAAAGCGUGGGUAGCGAACAG
rnacentral:rRNA from 1 species